CCCGGGCGCCCGCACCUCCCAGCCCUAGGCAGCGGCAGCGGCUGAGAGCGUGGUCGUGGGGUUCUGCUCAGGGCCCCUCGCUGGCGGGAUACCCCUUGGAUCGCCUAUCCAUCUUGGAGAGGGCCGGAGGGCGGGCUGCCCUCCUCGGUCGCUGACAAAGGGAGGCAGUGACCCCUAGCGGCCGGCAAGGGGGAGAGGCUGCUCGGUAGGGGUGGAGUUAAGAUGGGGAGGGGGCCUGCCGUGGGAAGCCGUGUGAACGCAGGAUCCGGCAUUGUCCAAUCUCCGAAGGCUUUCCGAACCCUCUCCUCCUACCCUGAGCCCAUUUCGCAGAUGAGGAACCAAAGGCCCAGACGGAGGCGUGGAGAGCGGUCCCGGGAAGAAAGAAGCGGAGCACAGUCUAGAACCCAGCGGCCAAAGCUUCUGCUCCCUGAGCUCUGCACGCCAGAACGAAGCUCCUUUGCGGAGGUCCAACCGCAAAAGCUGUAGAGAAGCCGAGGGAAGGCAUCAGUGAGUGAGAUCAGGGCACUCAGAUUACUAAUGGGACUUUUUCUAGAAUCCUCGUUGCCUUCAGGGGCUUCCUUGUCCCGAAACUGAAGCAAUCUGCUUUCCCUCAAUGGACGAGAAAUCAAGUCGGCUCCCAUUGCCUGCACCUCAUUUCCGAACGAUUUGCGGGAUUCCCGCGAAAGUGGCCCAUCCAGUCGGUGUCCCAGACAGGCCAGGACUCUCCGCCCCAUCCUGUUCGCCACCCACCACAUCCGGGUGGCUUCUUGCCAAGGUGACUGAGCCCGAGGGGCCCAUAGCACCUUCAAGCCUGGACCGUCUGUCCCCAUCCUCGGUCUGGGAGAGGCGGAGACAGGGUUUCCCAGUCUAGAGAUCUGAACAUUCCUCGGACGCCUCCUUUGCCCUUUGCCCAGCCCCAAGGGCACAGAGGCAUAGGGAAGCAGCCAAAUUCUGAUAAAAUGCGUGUAAGUCAGGACGGACUUUGGACCACACUGCUGCCUGACCUGGAAAUGCACUGCGCGGUCUCAUUCCUUGUCCCUGUGCACAUUUCUGUGUGGUCUUCACACCGAGGAGAAAUAUAUUGGAAGAUAUAUUGAUCAGGCACAUGGGACUUUGAUGCUCAAAUGCCUGGAUUCAAAUUCAUCCCCCCCCCCUUUCUUUUGACAGGGUUUCUCUGUGUAGCCCUGACUGUCCUGGAGCUCACUAUGUAUACUAGGCUGGCCUUGAACUCACAGCAUUUCUGCCUCCUGAGUGCUGGAAUUAAUGGUCUGAGUCACUACACCUGGCUGAAGAGGUUUGGAUUUACAAAAGAAGUAUAAGGAAAGCUAAAGAAAUGUCGCCACGGUUAAACGUAUUUGAUGCUUUUCCAGAGAACCGGAAUUUGAUUUCUAGAGCCCACAUCAUGUGGUUCAUAAACACCUCCAAUUCCAAGAGAGUGGAUAUACUUUUCUGCAUUUACACAUGCCACAACCACAUGUGCACACACACACACACACAAGCAUAAUUAAAAAAAAAUCUUUAAAAACAACAACAACAAAAGAUUGUAGUUUUCAUUUAUCCUUCACUUACUUUCCUAAAUGUUAAUGGCUUAAAUAUGAACCAUGUAGCAAAACUAAGAAAUUAGCAUUACUAUGUCACUAUUAAAUGAA